GAUGAACGCUGGCGGCGUGCCUAAUACAUGCAAGUCGAGCGAACAGACGAGGAGCUUGCUCCUCUGACGUUAGCGGCGGACGGGUGAGUAACACGUGGAUAACCUACCUAUAAGACUGGGAUAACUUCGGGAAACCGGAGCUAAUACCGGAUAACAUGUUGAACCGCAUGGUUCAACAGUGAAAGACGGUCUUGCUGUCCCUUAUAGAUGGAUCCGCGCCGCAUUAGCUAGUUGGUAAGGUAACGGCUUACCAAGGCAACGAUGCGUAGCCGACCUGAGAGGGUGAUCGGCCACACUGGAACUGGGACACGGUCCAGACUCCUAAGGGAGGCAGCAGUAGGGAAUCUUCCGCAAUAGGCGAAAGCCUGACGGAGCAACGCCGCGUGAGUGAAAAAGGUCUUCGGAUCGUAAAACUCUGUUAUUAGGGAAGAACAAAUGUGUAAGUAAAUAUGCACGUCUUGACGGUACCUAAUCAGAAAGCCACGGCUAACUACGUG
rnacentral:rRNA from 1 species